GACGAACGCUGGCGGCGUGCUUAACACAUGCCAGUCGAACGGAAAGGCCCUGCUUUUGUGGGGUGCUCGAGUGGCGAACGGGUGAGUAACACGUGAGUAACCUGCCCUUGACUUUGGGAUAACUUCAGGAAACUGGGGCUAAUACCGGAUAGGAGCUCCUGCUGCAUGGUGGGGGUUGGAAAGUUUCGGCGGUUGGGGAUGGACUCGCGGCUUAUCAGCUUGUUGGUGGGGUAGUGGCUUACCAAGGCUUUGACGGGUAGCCGGGCUGAGAGGGUGAGCGGCCAAAUUGGGACUGAGAUAAGGCCCAGACUCCUACGGGAGGCAGCAGUGGGGAAUAUUGCACAAUGGGCGGAAGCCUGAUGCAACAACGCCGCGUGCGGGAUGACGGCCUUCGGGUUGUAAACCGCUUUCGCCUGUGACGAAGCGUGAGUGACGGUAAUGGGUAAAGAAGCACCGGCUAACUACGUG
rnacentral:rRNA from 1 species